GCUAUUUUCACAUGGAGGUAAUCUUCUAUUGAUAAUUUCUGGAUUUUAAAAUUUUUUCAGCUGUUGAAUUCACCUCAGAUCAGUGUUGCUGUAAUUCCUGAUCUAUGGAAAGAAUAAUUGAAUGAGCGAGCAACGCCACAACUAUAGGACCUCUUCUUUCUCUUCU